GAUUAUUUUAUCUAAUACCUUGUCAUUUUUUAUAUAGUACAUUUCAUCUUCAUGAUUUUAUUUUCUUGAAAAAUAUCUUUAAUCAUGUUAAACACACCUAUUUUGCUGUCAUUCAAAUUAUUCUUUUUUCUUCAGGGACAGUUAUUCCUAUUUAUUUGAGUUUUAAUUCUUGUUUUUGUUAUUUAUUCUAGCUAGCGGCUUAUCCAGGUUUUGUGGGUCCUGACAUUUGUAUAAUUUUUAGGGCCUUAACCACUCCCACUUUCAUUUAUCUGUCUUCUAGAAAUUUUGCUUUCUUCCAUUUGAGUUUGAUAAUAGAGUGAAAAUCACUUUUUGUUAAUGAUCAAGCAUUUAUAUCUUCUGUAGCUAAAGGUGUCUGUCCGAGUCAAUUUGCUUCACUCUAUUGCUGGAGCACUUUACCUCUUUUUGUACCCUAACACUGUUUUCCAUCUUUUAACUCACUUUGCUACAGCCAUGCUGACCUUCCAUUUCUUUAAUUCAUCCUACUGCCUCCUGGCCCCUGAUCCUGAACAUUACCCUUGGAGGGAAUACUUCUUUAACGUCUAAUCUUUUUAUUAAUCUGAGUUCAAGUGUCAAUUCCUCAAGGAAGUUACAGAUCCACACCAGGUCCCUUGCUCACACAUUCCCAUUUUCUCAUACACAUUUCUUGCCACAGCACUUGUCAUUUACAAUGAUACAUUUCAAUGAUUUAUUACUAUCUGUCAUUCCUGCUGAAAUAUGUAUUAUGGUGUAGAGUGCAGAAUGGGAUUUCUCCUUUGAUGAGAGGUUAAGGGAGGGGGAAUGGUGACUAAAACUCAUGGCUGAGGACAAAAGCACCCAAUAUGCUAAGCUGGAGGCUCUACCAGCAUAGAUUCAGCACAGCAAAUCAGAGUAUUUGGCUGUCACAUGCACUGUAGUAUUAAAAGUCUACUAUACUUAGUCUACUAUACUUUUGCUUGUAAUCUGUAUGGCUUUGCUAAGAUAACCAACAUUUUUCACCAUUAAAUAAUUUCGGUAUUUAGCCUUGACUAUGUUUUACAUGAAUUAUCUCUUUGAUUUUCAUAAGCAAUCUUAAAGGACAGGGAGUAAAUUCUGUUGGUUGUUACUAAAAACUUUGACUAGCACAACCUGUAAAAUCUGAACUUGUAGAUGGUGAAAUUGCUGUAUUUCAAGUAUAUACAUCUUAGUAUUAUUCAUAUAACCAGUUCGAUGAAUUUGAUGAAAGGAAGAGAAAUAUGUAACAUCCAGUGUCAAAACCCAGAAUAGCUAGAUAACACCUCUUUGCAUUAUAAGAUGAAGCCUGGGAUAUUUUCUUUAUAAAGUAAGUUCUAUAUUUAUUCGUUUGUUGAAAAAUGCAUUAACUCUUGGCAGAGGUUGGCUUGAGAUGUUUUGUAUGGUUGCAUAUUGAGAUACAAAUAGUUUUAGAUUUCAGAAACCAGUAAAAUUAUAAGCAACACACUAUAAAUGAACAUCUACUGUUAGCAUGAUUUCAUAAAAGAAAAGGUCUUUUUAACAUCAAAAAGGGAAAACAUAAUGGCAUAAUCUCAGAAUUAAACAAGGCCAUUUAAUUUGAAUACAUUUAUCUCCCAAAAUGUUACUUCAUUUCCCUUCAUUUUCUUAUUUCACAAGAGCAUGGUGAACACUUCAUUAAGAACUAAUAUUUAGGAGCCAGUAGUAUAGAGAAGGAAGUUGAACCCCAUGUGGCUCAGACAAAGGAUCUUAAAGGUUAAAUGUUAAGAACCAUUUAUAUUGAAGAUCAAUCAGAAAAGAUGAAUCAUUUCUGGUUUUAUAAUGGGAUUUAUUUGCACAGAGAUUUUCGGGAAUCCACUGUGCAAAGAGAGGUGCAGCUGCAUCUUUUUCAUGCAUAUCCCUAUUGGCAGCAGAAGAGCACAGAUACGUAGAUACCAAUUACCUUAGUCUAUAAUAGCAAAUGAUGUGCCCUUCUUAAUUUCUUCUUGGAAAAGCUUGCUACGAGUGCCAUGUUAUUGCAUUCUCCUAACACAUCUCUGAAUUCUAGAUGUACAAUGCUGAGUGCCACCCAGCGCUUUGUAAUGCUUUCUUCACAGCUGGUUAUUUUCAGCUUCAUUCUUCACGUUUGUUUUAGCUCUCAGACAUGUCAACAUGUUCCCUUCAGCCCUGCAUAUCAUAAUAGAUCUCUCUGAAAGUGACAAAAAUAUUCUCAUAAAAAAUUUCUGUGCAAAAUUAUAACACCACACUUUAAAAUAAAUGCUGUCUUGACUGGUUACCAUAUUUCCAGAAAUAUUCUAAAAUAGUUAUCUUCACGCCCCAAUUUCCUCAUUUGGCUUCGAAGUACUUUGUUCUCUGACCUUGUGAAGAAAACGAUGGCUUCACAUAUGCUUCAUUCUUCUUUGGGGAAGAGACAGCGUCGUUACUUUUUGAGCAUCAAAGUGAUACAUGAAUUGCCAUUAGGGAGAGCAGCAUAUUCUCCCAGGACUCAAAUCUUCCCUGAUACCUUAGAAAGUGACAUUCAUUUCUACAGGUCAUGAGAGUAGCUUUUACCUCAUAACAUUUUAUGGGGUCAGUGCAUCUGAAUAACACAAGACUAAGAGGAAGAAAAUGGAAUGCAAAAUGUUAUCAGUGCCAUCCAUGUUCAACACAGUGAUUACAGAUACAAAAGGGGAGUGGGUGGGAGCCAUAGAAAGGGCAGUCCACAGGGACAGAAGGCCUAUGGUGAAAAACUACUGCCUCUUUGGGACUAAAUAUCACUAUGUGGUGCAGCAUUUUGUGAGAAAAGCUAAUUUGAGCAGCAUUUUUUUAUCCUGAAAUUUUGCUAUGGUUUUUUUUUUUUUUUUUUGUCUUAUUCUCUUUCUUUCCAAAAAUACAUUUUGGUCAGUCUUUUGAAAAUAAUCUAAGUUUGCAAGGAAUGUAAUGUUAUUUCAUUGAAAGAAAGUAUCUCUAUUCCCAAAUGUCUAUGUUUAUAGGCUGCACUGUAUUUACUAGGGAAGAGAUUUGUAUCGUAAUUGAAAUAGACUCAUAAUAAUUUCCUGGAGAUGAUAACUGCAUGGUCACAGAUUUUUAGGACCCUGCUAUAUAUGUGUAUACAUAGCUACAUAUAUUUUAGGACCCUGCUAUAUAUGUGUAUAUAUAGCUAUAUAUAUUUUAGGACCCUGCUAUAUAUGUGUAUGUAUGCAUAUGUCUGUGUGUGCCUAUAUACAUAUGUAUAUAUAUUACAUGCAUACACAUAGAUUAACAUUUUAAAAGUACAUAUACUUUAUAUGCAUAUGUAUAUAUGUGUGUGUACAUAUAUACAUAUGUACACACACAUAUAUACAUAUAUACAUGUGUACAUAUAUAUUACAUGCAUACACAUAGAUUAACAUUUUAAAAGUACAUAUACUUUAUAUGCAUAUGUAUAUAUGCAUAUGUAUAUAUGUAUGUACACAUACAUAUAUACAUAUGUACACAUACAUAUGUAUAUAUGUGUGUGUACAUAUGUAUAUAUGUACACACACAUAUGUAAUAUAUAUACAUAUAUAUACACACACACACAUAUAUAUAUAUACACACACACAUAUACAGGCAUACUUCAAAGAUAUUGUGGAUUUGGUUCCAGACCACUACAAUAAAGUAAGUCACACAAAUUCUUUGGUUUCCCAGGGCAUAUAAAAGUUGUGUGUAUGAAUAAUAGCAUUAUGUGAAAAAUUCCCAAUGUUCAUAACUUAAUUUAAAAAUACUUUACUUUAUUACUAAAAAAAAAAAGCUACUGCUCAUCUGACCCUUCAGAGUCUUAAUCUUUUUGUUGCUAGAAGGUCUUCCCUCAAGGUUGAUGGCUGCUGCUGAAUGAUCAGGUGGUGGUUACUGAAGGUUGAGUUAGUUGUGGUUAUUUCUUAAAAUAAAACAGGAAAGUUUGGUGCAUCCAUUGACUCUUCCUUUUACCAACCAUUUCUCUGUAGCAUGUGAUGCUGUUUGAUAGCAUCUUACCCACAGCAGAACCUUUCAAAACUAGAGUCGAACCUUUCAAAUUCUGAUGCUGUCUCAUCAACUAAGUUUAGAAAAUAUUCUAUUUUUGUGUGUUGUCAUUUCAAAAAUGUUCACAGCAUCUUCACCAGGAGUGGAUUCUAUCUCAAGAAACCUCUUUCUUGGCCUAUCCAUAAGAAGCAACUCCUCAUUUGUUCAAAUUUUAUCCUGAGAUUCAGUUAUGUACUCAGGCUCCACUUCUGAUUCUACUUUUCUCACUCUGCCCACUACAUCUAUAGGAACUUCCUCCACUGAAACCUUGAAUGCCUCAAAGUCUUCCAUGAGAGUUGGAAUUAACCUCCUUUAAAUUCCUGUUAGUGUUGAUAUUUUGAUCUCUUCCCGUGAAUCACAAAUGUUCUUAAGGACAUCUAGAAUGGUGCAUCCUUUCCAGAAGAUUUUCAAUGUACUUUGCUCAGAUCCAUCAUAAAUGUCACUAUGGCAGUUGUAGCCUUAUGAAGUGUUUUUCUUAAAUAAUAAGACUUGAAAGUAAAAAUUACUCCUUUAUCUGUGUGCUACAAAAUGGAUGAUUUGUUUGCAGGCAUGAAAACAACAUUAAUCUUCUUGUAUAUUUCCGUCAGAGCUCUUGGGUUACCAGCUUCAUUGUCAAUGAGCAGUAAUAUUUAGAAAGGAAUCUUUUUUUUGAAGCAGUAGGUCUCAACAGUGGGCUUAAAAUAUUCAGUAAACCAUAGUAUAAACAGGAGCGCUUUCAUCAGGCUUUGUUGUUUCAUUUAUAGGGCACAGGCAGAGUAGGUUUAGCAUAAUUCUUAAGGGCCCAAGGACUUUCAGACUGGUUAAUGAGCAUUGGUUUCAACUUCAAGUGACCAGCUGCAUUAGCCCCUAAUGAGAGAGUCAGCCUGUUCUUUGAAGCUUUGAAGCCAGGUAUUGACUUCUCUGUAGCUACGAAAGUCUUAGAUGGCAUCUUCUUUCAGUAGAAGGCUGUUAACACAUGUUGUGUAGUGUAGCCACCUUCAUCAAUUAUCUUAGCUAGAUCUUCUGGAUGACUUGCUUCAGCUUCUUCAUAAGCACUUGCUUCUCCACUUGCACUUUUAUGUUAUGGAGAUGGUUGCUUUAUUUCCUUAAACCUCAUAAGCCAACCUCUGGUGGCUUUAAACUUUUCUCCUGCUGUUUCCUCACCUCUCUCAGCCUUCACAGAAUUGAAAAGAGUUAGAACUUUCCUCUGAAUUAGGCUUUGGCUUAGGGGAAUGUUGGGGCUGGUUUGAUUCUCUAUCCAAACCACUCAAACUUUCUUCUUUUCAGCAAUAAGGCUGUUAUGCUUUCUGGUCAUUUGUGUGUUCACUGGAGUAGAAUUUUCAUUUUCCUCAAAAGCUUUUCCUUUGCAUUCACACCACAGUUAGCUGAUGCAAGAGGCCUAGCUUUUGGCCCAUCUUAUCUUUCUACAGACCUUUCUCACUAAGCUUCAUCAUGUCUAGCUUUUGAUUUAAAAUAAGAGACGUGCAACUCUUCCUUUCACUUCAACACUCAGAAGUCUUUGUAGAAGUAUUAGUUGGUCUAAUUUCAAUACAGUUGUGUCCCAAGGAAUAGGGAGACCUGGGGAGAGGGAGAGAAAUGAGGGAUCGGCUGGUCAGUGAAGCAGUCAGAACACUUAACAAUGUUUAAAU
rnacentral:lncRNA from 1 species